UCCACCUUCAUUAUCUUUCAUUUUCCCGUAACACGCUCUCAAAACAUUAUGAAAAUACCAAUACAUGUUACUGUUCACCUUCUUUUCCAAACCUUCCGUUCUUCCUUCACUCGCAAAUCCUCCAAAUAAUUAAAGUUCACUAAAAUCCUCCAAAGCUGUUCAACAACUUUGCAUGCGAGAAUUUUCCUCUUCAUCCUUGCGAAUCAACUCAAACAGCGAAAUAGGGAAACCGUAUGCAAGAGGAGCUCAAAGCUACUUCGAACCAGAAUCACCUUCUUCUUUAGUUUUGUUUAUGUGAGUUAUGUUACAUUAACGUAUUUUUAGCAUGAGGAUUAUGGGGGUUUAUUCAUUGAAAUCCUUUAUUUCUUUGUUAUAAAUUAUUUUGGGGAUUGUAAGGGUUAAAAGAAUUUAAAUGCAUCAGAGAAAUAAAAUCUUUUGCAAAUAGGUGGUUUCAAUCUGCACUCAAAUGAUUUAAAUUGACAAACAUGUGGUUUGUAUACUUAUUGGUCGUUGUUGUGUUAGUGAUUUAGUAAUUACAGAAUUAUGGGAUUUGAAUUUUAGUGCAAGAUGCGAAUUCUACCCCUGAAGACAAAUACACGUCCCUGAAUGUUUUCCACCCUUGCUAAUGUAUUUUGUCCAUGAUAGUUGUGAAGGUAAAAAAAUAUCAAUUAUAAGGAAGGGGGGUUUGAAUUAUAGUUGCCCCUUUUAAAAAUUAUGUUUUAAAAGUAAUAUCUCAAUCCAAGAUUGAUCUUGGCAGUGAUGAAGAUCGACCUUGGUUUUGUUGAAACAACAAUAUCAAUUUUAUCAAUAUAAAAUAUGAUUGUAAAGCAUAAAAUAAAUAGAGAUAGAGAUAGAGAGAUCACACAAGGAUAUAUCCGGGUUACGUCCAGUCCUCACAACCGUGAGAUUUUUCACUAAGUGUUCAAACCAAGAUCGUUCUUGGUUUUCAUGGAUCAAUCUUGAUCUUUACACAAUUCCCACCCUUCUACCUAGAAAGGAUUUCUUCAGUUCUACCUUACUGUUUUGGAAACGUUUUAACAAGUUACCUUUCAAAACAUGAAAGAAUUUUUGCAAUUUACUCAAGAUUUGACAAAACAACCUUGAGUUACAAAGUGAUGGAUUUGAGACUAUUUAGAAUCUUAGUAUUGCUCAACUCUUGUUUGAGAAAUAUAUUCUGUAAAUAGACCUCAGUUGUAAAUGAUUACAACACAAAGAUUAAAACAAAACAGCAAACUAUAAGAAAGAUUUUGAGACACUUGAGUAUGAUCGAAGAGAUUGAUCUUUUGCUUGGUGCUGAUUGUUGUGUUUUGUUCUUCAACUUGAAGCUACAUUUAUAGACUCCAAGAAGGCUUAUGACAGCUCAUGUGGCCGUUGGAAAGGGACCAACUGUCAUGAAAGAGUUGUUGGAUAAAUUCUGCCAAAAACAAGAUUGAUCAGCUGCAUCAAAAGAUCGAUCCAGGAUUGAUCUUUUGGUUUGUGAUGAACUAGCAUUGUACUUUAUGAUUUGUGUCAGUAUGUCAGCCUUGAGUACAUGCUUUUCUGUUAUGGUGUGCAGGCUUUAGAAUAGUUCAAAUCAGUAGUGUACUUUGCUACUUGUAGUCUUGUACUUGCAUUUGCUUUAUAAGAAGAAUGAUCUUUGUGAUAUGCCUUUAUUGAAGCAUGCCUUUGAUUCUUCAAAUUCUGGAACAAAUGUGACUUGGAUUGAUCUUUUGUUGAUUCUAUAUGAGAGUAUAAGAUGAAUAUUGUUUCCUGGAUUGAUCUUUUUCAGGGAAACAGAUUAACCUUGUUUCUGCCAUAAACGAAGAUCAUUCUUCGUUUUUCAUCAAUAAGUCAAGAUCGAUCUUUGUUUUCCAGAACUGCCUCAAGAUCAAUCUUUAUCUUCCAGAACUACUUCAAGAUCAAUCUCUAUUUUCCAAAACUGCUUUCUUUGAUUUUAAUAAGGUCUGAUUUGUGAUGUUUUGAUACCUAUCUUGUUUUAACAUACUCAAAAACACAUGUUAAAUAUCAAAACACUUAGAAUCAUAAUUAGAAUUCUUAAUUAACUUUUUGUUUGUUUUCAUCAAAACAUUAAAUUGAGAUUUUGUCUCAACAAGUUGUAUCUAUUCCUGCCUCUGAUUGCUCGUCAUUAAAUUCUAAGUGUUUCUGUUUCUAGUAGCUUUCUUCAUUUUGCCUCUGGUGGCUAUCGUUCUUAAAAUCUAAAUAUUUAUGCCUCUGUUAGUUUUCUUUAUUUUGUCUCUGGUGGCCAUCGUUGUUAAAAUCCUAAGUAUUUUUUGCCUCUUGUAGUUUUCUUCGUCUUUCCUAUAAUACUCCUUCUCUAUUCUUCUUCCUCUGAUUCUCUUUCUCUAUUAUUUUUCCUUUGUUUCUCAUUCUCUCUAUUAUUCUUCAUCUAAUUCUCUUUCUCCCUAUACUUAUUCCUCUUCUUCUAAUUUUGUUUCUCUAUAUUCUUAUUCCUCUAAAUCUCUUUCUCUAUUCUUCUUCAACUAACUCUUUUUCUUUUCUUUCUUCCUUUGACUCUGAUCAAUGUUCAACAUCCUCUAAACCCAUUUCCUUUGAUUCUUCCACGGGACACGUUUCCUUUGAUACUUCAACAAGAAAAGUUUCUUUGGAUACUUCCACAGAACGCGUUUCCUCUUAUUAUUCAUAUGGUCUAUGUAUCAUCUUACCACGUUGCCUCUGGUCCAUCCAUUCUCUGACCAUAUUUUCUCCAGUUCAUGCAUCUUCUGACCAUAUUUCCUCUGGUUCAUGCAUCCUCUGACCAUGUUGCCUCUGGUCCAUGCAUUCUUUGGUCUACCUAUAAUCUGAUCUAUAUGCUUCUGACCAGGGACUUAAGAUUUAAUUCCCACUUGAAUUUCAGUACAUUACUAUGUUUUUUAUAAUUGUUGUAGAUGAAUGAUGCAUUGUGUACAAGACAUAAUAAAGAUAUUGCAUACCAAACAUCUCAAGUUCAAUAUAUUCUCAUUAAUUAGAUCAUGCUAGGCCAUAUUCAUGGUGGAACAUUCAGGUUGUUCUAGGCACAGAACAACAGGUAGAGGAGAACAAUCAUGAUGUUGGUUGUGUUGGAACCAAGUUGGUUUUACAUUUAGAGCUUUGAUGUUAACAAAAGUAUUUUAUGAGAACAAUACAUUUGACUUCAAAGAGUAUGAAAAAAGAUUCAUGUUUUUGAAGAAAAUCUAUGAUAAGAUUUGAUUCAAAUUUAUAAUUGAAGAAAUCUAAAAUAAGAUUUGAUCCCAAAUUGUAAUUGGUGAAAAUCUCUUACCAAGUUGAAAAGAAGAUAUGGUCAAUAUUUAAAGAAUGUUUGAGGAAGAUUUGAAGAUUAUUUGAUCAACAUUUGAAGAAGAUUCAAUUAAGAUUUGAAGAAGAUUUAAUCAUGAUUUGAAUCUUUUAUAUCCAACUCGAUAGUGGUUUAGUUCCUGUUCAAUCUAGGGUUGUUAGGUUGUUAGGAGAAGACUUGGCUUGCAAGGUCAAGGUGGUUAAUUCCUUCUUUAAUCUGGGGUUGUUAGGUUGUUAAGAGAAGACUUGGCUGGUAGGGUCAAGGUGGUUAGUUCCUCCAAAGUCUGGGGUUGUUAAGCUGUUUGAGAAGACUAGCUUGGAGGGUCAGGUGCUUUAUAAUUCAAGGUAUUUGAAUUAGUGGAUUAAAGCCUUUUGAAUGAAGGGACUGAAUGUAGCCAAGUAAGUGGUGAACCAGGAUAAAUAUAUGUGUCAAAUUAAUUAUGCUUCAUUGUUUAGUGCUUCUUAUUUGAGUAAUUCAUAAAAACCAACCAACCUUCACCACAUUAGCAAAAAGUUAUCAACUUUAUCAAACACAAUUUAACCUCCCUUCUCGUGUUUGCACCUUCAAUUGGCAUUAGAGCUCUGUCUCAAGGCUGAGCACUUUACAAUGUUUGAGGAAAGAUCUAAGGGUUCAACAUGUCUCGAUUUAGUGAAUCAAUAGAUGAAGCAAUUGAGGUAUUUUCUGAAUUUACUCGAUUUGAUUUAAUUACUGCUAUAAAUGAUUUUUUUAAAUAUUAAUAAAAAAUUGGCUUUAUAACAGCAAACACUUAGGAAAGAAAAUACAAAUCUAAUUGAAAAAGUUAAUGUUUUAAAGAAUUAAAGUACUGAAUUUAAAACAGAAAAUACAAAUAUGAAAACUGAUGUUACUGAACUUAAAAUAGAGAAUGCAAAUCUAAAAAUUGAUAUUACUGAACAUAAGACAUAUAAUGCAACUCUGAAAACUGAUAUUAUUGAACUUAAAAUAGAAAAUGCAAAUUUGGAAAAUGAUAUUGCUGAACUUAAUGUUGAAAAUCUAACUCUGAUAAGCAUGAAGAAGUAUUUCAACAUUUUAUUGAUAAUGGUAUGGAAAGAAUCAAAUAUGCAUUUAUGAUUUAUGGGGUUAGUAGGAAUAGUAAAAGAGGAAUAGAUUUUCAAGAAAAAGUAAGUGAACCUAAGUUUAUUUUCUCUGAUAAUUUAUGUACUACUUGCUAUAAGAAAGGUCACAUUAAAAUAUCUUGUCCUAUGCUAACCACAUGGAAAGACAAGAUUUGGGUACCAAAGGAUAAAAUUGUUAUGUUGCAGAUGUUCUAAGCAACCAAAUUGAAACACCAAUCAUGGUGUCUAGUCAAUGGAUGCUUGCAAUAUAUGAAGGAAAAAAUAUCUAUGUUCCAAGCCCUAUCAAACAAAAGCCAACUAACUCUGGUGGAAGAAGGACUAGCAACACAAAACUUAUCAGAAUCAGAACCAUAUCAUGAACCAGAAAUAUUAGAAAAAUCUGAAGUAUCAAUAGAAUCAAAACUGGCAGAGAAAUCACACAUAUCAAUAAAAAUCAAAUCUGGAAGAGAAAUCACACAUAUCAACAAAACUAGAACUACCAGAAGAAUCAAAAUUACCAUCAGUUCCCAAAUUACCAAAAAAAACCUGAUACAUCAGUGAUAAGAUAGAAUUCAUCUAUUUUUAUAAUUUUAUUUGAUAGGUUAAUUUGAUGUUUUUAAUUCGAUUUUAGUUCUUUUUUACUACCUUUUUGUUUUGUUUUGAUUGCAAGGAGAAGUGAAGGAAUAAGUGAAGAUUUUUGGAGCAAAAGAGCCUUAAAUCAAGUGGUGCAUCAUGAUCAAGAAAAUGAAAGAAACUCAAGUUCUAGCAAACAUUACUACCUUGCCAUAAUAGUCAUUACAACCAUAAUGGAUGAAUGAAAAUAAAUAAAUAAAAUAAGAAUAUGCCAAUUCAAGUCAGUAAGGAUUACUCCCUAACAGUAAUGACCAUUAUGACCAUAAUCUGUUCAUUUUCUGCUGCUACAUCUAUUAUUGUCUGGUAGUAAUGACCAUUAUGGCUAUAAUAUGUUCAUUUUCUACUGUUGCAUCUAUUACUUCCUGACAGUAAUGACCAUUAUGGCUAUAAUCUGUUGAUCUUCUACAGCUGCACCUAUUACUGUCUUGCAGUAAUGACCAUUAUGGCCAUAAAUGACUCAUUUUCUGCUGAACUGUUUUCCUUCUAUCAAAUUAUGAUGGUUUCUUGUAAUUAAAGCUCAUGAAAGCACCUAGGACUAUAAAAAGGACCAAAAUACUCAGUUUUAGGGACACAUAUACUCCUACACACAAUCUCUUACUACUA
rnacentral:lncRNA from 1 species